rnacentral:rRNA from 1 species
AUGAAAUUGGGAGAUGAAUGGAAAACAGCAUUUAAAACUAAGUUUGGAUUAUAUGAGUGGUUAGUCAUGCCUUUUGGGUUAACUAAUGCACCUAGUACUUUCAUGAGGUUAAUGAACGAAGUUUUACGUGCUUUCAUUGGACGAUUUGUGGUAGUUUACUUUGAUGACAUAUUGAUUUAUAUCAAAUCUUUGGAGGAAUAUUUGGAACAUUUACGUGCUGUUUUUAUUGCUCUACGUGAUGCACGUUUGUUUGGUAACCUUGGAAAGUGCACCUUUUGCACCGACCGAGUAUCUUUUCUUGGCUAUGUUGUUACUCCACAGGGAAUUGAAGUUGAUAAAGCCAAGAUUGAAGCUAUUGAGAGUUGGCCGCAGCCCAAAACGGUCACACAAGUGAGGAGUUUCCUUGGUCUCGCUGGUUUCUAUAGGCGUUUUGUGAGAGAUUUCAGCACCAUUGCUGCACCUCUCAACGAGCUUACAAAGAAGGAUGUGCCUUUUGUUUGGGAUACCGCACAGGAAGAAGCCUUCACGGUAUUGAAAGAUAAGUUGACACAUGCUCCUUUACUCCAACUUCCUAAUUUCAACAAGACUUUUGAGCUUGAAUGUGAUGCUAGUGGAAUUGGAUUAGGAGGUGUGUCAUUACAAGAUGGGAUACCUGUUGCAUAUUUUUCUGAAAAAUUGAGUGGGCCUAGUCUGAACUAUUCUACUUAUGAUAAAGAAUUAUAUGCUCUUGUUCGGACCUUAGAAACAUGGCAACAUUAUUUAUGGCCCAAGGAAUUUGUUAUACAUUCUGAUCAUGAAUCUUUGAAACACAUUAAAAGUCAAGCAAAACUGAACCGUAGACAUGCUAAAUGGGUUGAAUUCAUUGAGACUUUCCCUUAUGUCAUUAAACACGAGAAGGGUAAAGAAAAUGUUAUUGCUGAUGCUUUGUCUCGUCGUUAUACUAUGCUUUCACAACUUGACUUUAAAAUAUUUGGUUUGGAGACCAUCAAAGAACAAUAUGAUCAUGAUGCUUAA